GGUGGCGAACGGAGAAGGACUCAUUAUUUGGCCCUCUCAAGGCUGAAACAGGGGUUCGAUUCCCCUAGGGAGCGCCA
rnacentral:tRNA from 1 species